rnacentral:rRNA from 1 species
ACGGCUCAGUAACACGUCGUUAACGUGCCCUUUGGUCAGGGAUACCCACGGGAAACUGUGGUUAAUACCUGAUAGGGAUUGCAACCUGGAAUGGUGCAAUCUUUCAAACUCGUGCCAAAGGAUCGGACGGCGGCGGAUUAGGUUGUUGGCGGUGUAACGGACCACCAAGCCAAAGAUCCGUACGGGCCAUGAGAGUGGUAGCCCGGAGAGGGACACUGAGAUACUGGUCCCAGCCCUACGGGGUGCAGCAGGCGCGAAACCUUUACAAUGCACGCAAGUGUGAUAAGGGAAUCCCUAGUGCUCAUGUACUGCAUGGGCUUUUGCUAAGUGUAAAUAGCUUGGCGAAUAAGUGGUGGGUAAGACUGGUGCCAGCCGCCGCGGUAACACCAGCGCCACGAGUGGUAACCACGUUUAUUGGGCCUAAAGCGUCCGUAGCCGGUUUGAUAAAUCUUUUGUGAAAUUGUUUGGCUUAACCAAACAGCGUGCAAGAGACACUGUCAAACUCGAGACCGGGAGGAGUCAGAAGUAUUCCAGAGGGAGCGGUAAAAUGUUAUAAUCUCUGGAGGACUAUCUGUGGCGAAGGCGUCUGACCAGAACGGAUCUGACGGUGAGGGACGAAAGCCAGGGGAGCGAACCGGAUUAGAUACCCGAGUAGUCCUGGCCGUAAACGCUGUGAGCUAGGUGUUGCGCCAGCUACAUGUUGGUGCAGUGUCGAAAGGAAGCUGUUAAGCUCACCGUCUGGGAAGUACGGUCGCAAGACUGAAACUUUAAGGAAUUGGCGGGGGAGCAC